UACGUAGGGUGCUAGCGUUGUUCGGAAUUACUGGGCGUAAAGCGCACGUAGGCGGGCGAUUAAGUCAGGGGUGAAAUCCCGGAGCUCAACUCCGGAACUGCCUUUGAUACUGGUCGUCUAGAGAUCGGAAGAGGUGAGUGGAAUUCCCAGUGUAGAGGUGAAAUUCGUAGAUAUUGGGAAGAACACCAGUGGCGAAGGCGGCUCACUGGUCCGAUACUGACGCUGAGGUGCGAAAGCGUGGGGAGCAAACAGG
rnacentral:rRNA from 1 species